rnacentral:lncRNA from 1 species
UAUAUGUAUAUAACAAAGAAAGAAUAGAAAAAGAGAAUAGAAACAGAGAGCAAAACGGGCAGAGAAGGAAGGAAGGAAAGAAAGAAAAAGAAAAAGGGGUUCCAAGCUCAAUUGGUAAGUUAAAUUAAGUCCUUUUCUUAUAAUUUUUGAGUUUUUGGAAUCCUAGAGCAAAAUACUACUUGAUUUAAGUGGAAAUUUUGGAAGUUAGUAGAUUAUUAGAUGUUGUUCAUGUUGAAUUAAUUGAUGAAUUAGAGGUUAAAAUGAUUGAAUUUUAAGUUAAAAGUUAGUAAAAGGUUGAUUUGUAAAAUAAAAUAUAAGUUUUGAAUUGAUAGGGAUUAAAUUGAAAGAAUCCCGAAAUUAGGGAUUUAUGGGGAAAUUGAAAAAUUAAACUGAGUUUAUAGUAAGAAUUAAGAGAGGAUAUAGAGUUAGAUUGGGAAAAUAAAAUUAUUAUUGAUAAUGGAUUAAAUUAGAAUUUGGGCAAAGUUUAGGUAUAAAAAGAAAUAUUUUAAUGAAAUUGUGUAUUAAUGAUUUUUAAUUGUUUAAUUACGUAGCUAAUGUCGUGUACGAGUCAUUGCCCGAGAAAGGAAAGGAGAAGGUGGACAAGGAUUGACUCGGGGGAAAUUUCGGUUAGUAUUACUAUAAUUCGAAUUUAAUUAUUAAUUGUUAAAUUUUAAAUUAAUAUACAUGAUAAGCAAAUUGAGGUAAGCAUCACGACUGAAUUGAAUGAUAAAUACGUAUUGGUAUUGAAUUUAUUAAUAGUAAUUGUUGAAUUUUGAAUAAUAUGUUUAGUAAAUAAAAAUAAGAUGAAUAUUGAUGUUGAAUUGUACAUGAAUUUGAUUGGAAAAAGAAUUAAAAAUAUAUAUAUGAAUGGAAUAAAAGUGAAUUAAAUUGUGAAUAAGUGUGAUAUAUGUGAAUUGCGGAAUAAGUAGUAAAUUGUAAUGACGAAGAAAUGAUAAGUCCUUUUUGAAAUAAUUCUAUAAAGUAUUUAAAUAAAUGAGAUUCAGAUUUAAUGCCCAAGUAGAUGGAAUUUAGAACUACCGGGAUAUUAGUGGCAUGCCAUUAAGGAACUUUAGCGCGCUCUCUGAUAUUAGCACGUUGGUGCUCUCUGAUUAUUAGCACGUUGGUGCUCUCUGAUAUUUAGCACGGCAGUACUCUCUGUUUAGCACAUUUGUGCUCUCUGUAUUUGUUCCGUAUAUCCGGGGUGUUCUGUAAAAUCUACUUUGGGCUAAGAUUAUAAGCUGUGGACAAAAGUGAAUCAUUAAUGUGUUAAGGUAAGUCUUAUAAAGUUUAUAUGUACCGUUUUAGGCAUAAUGUGCCGUAUUGGUGUUUUUUUGGUUGGAUCCGUGUAUCCGCCAAGAUCUGAGUCAAGUUAAUAGGGGUAAAUGAAUAAUUUUGAUAAUAUAAAUUUUUAUUGAAUGAUCUUGAAUAUGAAUUGAAAUAGCUAUUGUUAAGAAGUGAGAAGUGAAAAUAAAAUAAUUUGAAAGAGUGAAAUAAUAUGUGAAUUUAACUGAAUACAAGUUAUUGAAAUUUAGUUAUGGAUUUAAUGAAUAAAUUGAGUGUUAAAAGAUUUAAAGUACAUAUUGAUUAUAAAUAGAAAUGAUAAUGAAUGAGUUGAUAAAUUGAUUGAAUUUGUAUGAAUUGGAAUGAAUUAUUAGAAUGAGAUGUCGAAAAAUCCAAUAGAAUUGAGAUAGUGAAAUAAGGUAUGAAUACAAUUAAAUACAAGAAUUGAAAUAUUGCUUAUUGUUAUUAAUGAUCAAGUUGAGUUAAAGUACGAGAUAAUUAAUGAAUAAUUGUAGACAUAAAUUAAAUGUAUAUAAUUUAUCAAUUAAUAUUAUUAAUUUGAAUUAUGGUAAUACCACUGAGUAUACCCAUACUCAGCGUACGGUUGUUUCCGUGCGCAGGAUUGUAGAAAACCAGUGUUCGAUCCAGCAUCCGAAGUAAUCCCGACCUCAGAGACAUUUUAGUGAUGUACCUUUCUAUUGAUAAUGUGGCAUGUACCUAGGUAAUGUAUAUACCUAAGUGAUGUAUAGGGAUUAGUCAUUUUGAAUGUUGUAUCUAUGAUAUUGCUAAAUAAAGAGGUGUGAGUAUGUGAUAAUGUUUGGCUUUUAAAAUGGUUAAGUAUGAAAAUCAAGAAAGAGUAAAUUUUGCAAAGAAACAGAAUUCAGGCAGCAACAGUGACGUAACUUUGAAAAAUCACCUAGGAUAGUAUAAAAUGAAUUAGAGGGUGAAUGAUAUAUGAA